AGAUACAUUAUCUUUUAAUUGUUUGAGUAUUAUGUACAAGCAUAAUUAUAUCAUUUUUGCUUUACUGGAGUAGAAGAUCAAGUUUUACGAGUUCGUAAGUUUGCUUGUUGCUGUUAUCAACAUCGUGUUGAAUUUGAAAUUGCGUUUAGUUGCAGAUUCGAGAUGGGGAGGACUUCAAUCCGAGAAAUGGGAGUUGAAUUUUCAAUAAUAAGAGGAUGUGGUGUUCGAGGAUUUGUAGAUCUUCUGAAGAGUGGUCGAAGGAAAGGAAUUGUAAGAUCCAGAAUUACAUGCUGACUUAGGUUGGAGAAGGGGAGGAUGUGUAGAUCCAAGCAAUGGAAGUUGGAUUUUCAAUAAUAAGGUGAUCGAACCAUCUUGCAAUAUAAUUGAAGAAGAUCUGUGUAAAAAAAGUUUUCACACUUCAGUUCAUUAUUGCUGAGAAUUAAUUGAACUGAUAAGAUCAGUGAAGAAUCAGAUACUUGCAGAAGUGGGAAUUGUAACCUAGUGUUUGGCUCCACCAUUGAAUGUUAAUAAUCAAUAUUUUACUAAUCUUUUGGUUGAAGAUCAUUCUUAAGCUUGGUGGCUUUAAUUCAACAUUACAAGGCAAACGUCGACUUUUGGUACUUGGUUCCUGUGUUUCCACCAUCAUUAUUGCCAUGUUUGUAUUGCUUUUGCUAUUGCAGGCAUUGAGUCGAAGCAGUUAUGGUUCUCAACCUCUACUUUGUAAUUAUUCUAUUUCUAUCCAUUUCUCACCAUUGAAUGGUAAUAAUAAAUAUUUUACUAAUCUUUUGGUUAAAGAUCACUCUUAAGGUAUUAUGUUACAUUCAAUUACCUAUUUUUUGUAAUAUUAUCAGUCGUAUAUGUUGUAUUUGUCUUUUAUGAUAGAAAUUUUUUUAUCAUUUCAUUAUUUUUUAUGUGGUGUAGCUUGGUGGCUUGAAUUCAACACUACAAGGCAAACGUCGACUUUCUGUACUUGUUUCCUGUGUUUCCACCAUCAUUAUUGCCAUGUUUGUAUUGCUUUUGCUAUUGCAGGCAUUGAGUCGAAGUAGUUAUGGUUCUCAACCUCUACUUAGUAAUUAUUCUAUUUCUAUCCAUUUUUCACCAUUGAAUGUUAAUAAUCAAUAUUUUACUAAUCUUUUGGUUAAAGAUCAUUCUUAAGGUAUUAUGUUACAUUCAAUUACCUAUUUCUUGUAAUAUUAUCAGUCGUAUAUGUUGUAUUUGUCCUUUAUGAUAGAGAUUUCUUUAUCAUUUCAUUAUUUUUUAUGUAGUGUAGCUUGGUGGCUUGAAUUCAACACUACAAGGCAUUAAGUCGAAGCAGUUAUGGUUCUCAACCUCUACUUAGUAAUUAUUCUAUUUCCAUUCAUUUCUCACCAUUGAAUGUGAAUAAUCAAUAUUUUACUAAUCUUUUGGUUGAAGAUCAUUCUUAGGGUAUUAUGUUACAUUCAAUUACCUAUUUCUAGUAAUAUUAUCAAUCGUAUAUGUUGUAUUUGUCCUUUUUGAUUGAGAUUUCUUUAUCAUUUCAUUAAUUUUUAUGUGGUGUAGCUUGGUGGCUUGAAUUCAACACUACAAGGUAAAUGUCGACUUUCUGUACUAUUUUCCUGUGUUUCCACCAUCAUUAUUGCCAUGUUUGUAUUGCUUUUGUUAUUGCAGGCAUUGAGUCGAAGCAGUUAUGGUUCUCAACCUCAACUUAGUAAUUAUUCUAUUUCUAUCCAUUUCUCACAAUUGAAUGGUAAUAAUCAAUAUUUUACUAAUCUUUUAGUUGAAGAUCAUUCUUAAGGUAUUAUGUUACAUUCAAUUACCUAUUUCUUGUAACAUUAUCAGUCGUAUAUGUUGUAUUUGUCUUUUAUGAUAGAGAUUUUUUUAUCAUUUCAUUAUUUUUUAUGUGGUGUAGCUUGGUGGCUUUCUGUACUUGUUUCCUGUGUUUCCACCAUCAUUAUUGCCAUGUUUGUAAUUCUUUUGCUAUUGCAGGCAUUAAGUCCAAGCAGUUAUGGUUCUCAACCUCUACUUAGUAAUUAUUCAAUUUCUAUUCAUUUCUAACCAUUUAAUGUUAAUAAUCAAUAUUUUACUAAUCUUUUGGUUGAAGAUCAUUCUUAAGGUUUUAUGUUACAUUAAAUUACCUAUUUCUUGUAAUAUUAUCAGUCGUAUAUGUUGUAUUUGUCUUUUAUGAUAGGGAUUUUUUUAUCAAUCAAUUAUUUUUUAUGUGGUGUAGCUUGGUGGCUUGAAUUCAACAUUACAAGGCAAACGUCGACUUUCUGUACUUGUUUCUUGUGUUUCCACCAUCAUUAUUGCCAUGUUUGUAAUUCUUUUGCUAUUGUAGGCAUUAAGUCGAAGCAGUUAUGGUUCUCAACCUCUACUUAGUAAUUAUUCUAUUUCUAUCCAUUUCUCACCAUUGAAUGGUAAUAAUCAAUAUUUUACUAAUCUUUUGGUUGAAGAUCAUUCUUAAGGUAUUAUGUUACAUUCAAUUACCUAUUUCUUGUAAUAUUAUCAGUCGUAUAUGUUGUAUUUGUCCUUUAUGAUAGAGAUUUCUUUAUCAUUUCAUUAUUUUUUAUGUGGUGUAGCUUGGUGGCUUUCUGUACUUGUUUCCUGUGUUUCCACCAUCAUUAUUGCCAUGUUUGUAAUUCUUUUGCUAUUGCAGGCAUUAAGUCCAAGCAGUUAUGGUUCUCAACCUCUACUUAGUAAUUAUUCUAUUUCUAUUCAUUUCUAACCAUUUAAUGUUAAUAAUCAAUAUUUUACUAAUCUUUUGGUUGAAGAUCAUUCUUAAGGUUUUAUGUUACAUUAAAUUACCUAUUUCUUGUAAUAUUAUCAGUCCUAUAUGUUGUAUUUGCCUUUUAUGAUAGAGAUUUUUUAAUCAAUCAAUUAUUUUUUAUGUGGUGUAGCUUGGUGGCUUGAAUUCAACAUUACAAGGCAAACGUCGACUUUCUGUACUUGUUUCCUGUGUUUCCACCAUCAUUAUUGCCAUGUUUGUAAUUCUUUUACUAUUGCAGGCAUUAAGUCGAAGCAGUUAUGGUUCUCAUCCUCUACUUAGUAAUUAUUCUAUUUCUAUCCAUUUCUCACCAUUGAAUGGUAAUAAUGAAUAUUUUACUAAUCUUUUGGUUGAAGAUCAUUCUUAAGGUAUUAUGUUACAUUAAAUUACCUAUUUCUUGUAAUAUUAUCAGUCGUAUAUGUUGUAUUUGUCUUUUAUGAUAGAGACUUUUUUAUCAAUCAAAUAUUUUUUAUGUGGUGUAGCUUGGUGGCUUGAAUUCAAAAUUACAAGGCAAACGUCGACUUUCUGUACUUGUUUAUUGUGUUUCCACCAUCAUUAUUGCCAUGUUUGUAAUUCUUUGGCUAUUGCAGGCAUUAAGUCGAAGCAGUUAUGGUUCUCAACCUCUACUUAGUAAUUAUUCUAUUUCUAUCCAUUUCUCACUGUUGAAUGGUAAUAAUCAAUAUUUUACUAAUCUUUUGGUUGAAGAUCAUUCUUAAGGUAUUAUGUUACCUUAAAUUACCUAUUUCUUGUAAUAUUAUCAGUCGUAUAUGUUGUAUUUGUCCUUUAUGAUAGAGAUUUCCUUAUCAUUUCAUUAUUUCUUAUGUGGUGUAGCUUGGUGGCUUGAAUUCAACACUACAAGGCAUUGAGUCGAAGCAGUUAUGGUUCUCAACCUCUACUUUGUAAUUAUUCUAUUUCUAUCCAUUUUUAACCGUUGAAUGUUAAUAAUCAAUAUUUUACUAAUCUUUUGGUUGAAGAUCAUUCUUAAAGUAUUAUGUUACAUUCAAUUACCUAUUUCUUGUAAUAUUGUCAGUCGUAUAUGUUGUAUUUGUCCUUUAUGAUAGAGAUUUCUUUAUCAUUUCAUUAUUUUUUAUGUGGUGUAGCUUGGUGGCUUGAAUUCAACACAACAAAGUAAAUGUCGACUAUCUGUACUUGUUUCCUGUGUUUCCACCAUUAUUAUUGCCAUGUUUGUAUUGGUUUUGUUAUUGCAGACAUUAAGUCGAAGCAGUUAUGGUUCUCAACCUCUACUUAGUAAUUAUUCUAUUUUUAUUCAUUUCUCACCAUUGAAUGUGAAUAAUCAAUAUUUUACUAAUCUUUUGAUUGAAGAUCAUUCUUAGGGUAUUAUGUUACAUUCAAUUACCUUUUUCUUGUAAUAUUAUCAAUCGUAUAUGUUGUAUUUGUCCUUUUUGAUUGAGAUUUCUUUAUCAUUUCAUUAAUUUUUAUGUGGUGUAGCUUGGUGGCUUGAAUUCAACACUACAAAGUAAAUGUCGACUUUCUGUACUAUUUUUCUGUGUUUCCACCAUCAUUAUUGCCAUGUUUGUAUUGCUUUUGUUAUUGCAGGCAUUGAGUCGAAGCAGUUAUGGUUCUCAACCUUAACUUAGUAAUUAUUCUAUUUCUAUCCAUUUCUCACAAUUGAAUGGUAAUAAUCAAUAUUUUACUAAUCUUUUGGAUGAAGAUCAUUCUUAAGGUAUUAUGUUACAUUAAAUUACCUAUUUCUUGUAAUAUUAUCAGUCGUAUAUGUUGUAUUUGUCUUUUAUGAUAGAGAUUUUUUUAUCAUUUCAUUAUUUUUUAUGUGGUGUAGCUUGGUGACUUUCUGUACUUGUUUCCUCUGUUUCUACCAUCAUUAUUGCCAUGUUUAUAUUGCUUUUGUUAUUGCAGGCAUUGAGUCGAUGCAGUUAUGGUUCUUAACCUCUACUUAGUAAUUAUUCUAUUUCUAUCCAUUUCUCACCAUUGAUUGUUAAUAAUCAAUAUUUUACUAAUCUUUUGGUUGAAGAUCAUUCUUAAAGUAUUAUGUUACAUUCAAUUACCUAUUUCUUGUAAUAUUAUCAGUCGUAUAUGUUGUAUUUGUCCUUUAUGAUAGAGAUUUUUUUAUCAAUCAAUUAUUUUUUAUGUGGUGUAGCUUGGUGGCUUGAAUUCAACACUACUAGGCAGACGUCGACUUUCUGUACUUGUUACCUGUGUUUCCACCAUCAUUAUUGCCAUGUUUGUAUUGAUUUUGCUAUUGCUUUUGCUAUUGCAGGCAUUGAGUCGAAGCAGUUAUGGUUCUCAACCUCUACUUUGUAAUUAUUCUAUUUCUAUCCAUUUCUCACCAUUUAAUGUUAAUAAUCAAUAUUUUACUAAUAUUUUGGUUGAAAAUCAUUCUUAAGGUAUUAUGUUACAUUCAAUUACCUAUUUCUUGUAAUAUUAUCAGUCGUAUAUGUUGUAUUUGUCCUUUAUGAUAGAUAUUUUUUUAUCAUUUCAUUAUUUUUUAUGUGGUGUAGCUUGGUGGCUUGAAUUCAACACUACAAGGCAAACGUCGACUUUCUGUACUUGUUACCUGUGUUUCCACCAUCAUUAUUGCCAUGUUUGUAUUGAUUUUGCUAUUGCUUUUGCUAUUGCAGGCAUUGAGUCAAAGCAGUUAUGGUUCUUAACCUCUACUUUGAAAUUAUUCUAUUUCUAUUCAUUUCUCACCAUUUAAUGUUAAUAAUCAAUAUUUUACUAAUAUUUUGGUUGAAAAUCAUUCUUAAGGUAUUAUGUUACAUUCAAUUACCUAUUUCUUGUAAUAUUGUCAGUCGUAUAUGUUCUAUUUGUCCUUUAUGAUAGAGAUUUCUUUAUCAUUUCAUUAUUUUUUAUGUGGUGUAGCUUGGUGGCUUGAAUUCAACAUUACAAGGCAAACGUCGACUUUCUGUACUUGUUUCUUGUGUUUCCACCAUCAUUAUUGCCAUGUUUGUAAUUCUUUUGCUAUUGCAGGCAUUAAGUCGAAGCAGUUAUGGUUCUCAACCUCUACUUAGUAAUUAUUCUAUUUCUAUCCAUUUCUCAUCAUUGAAUGGUAAUAAUCAAUAUUUUACUAAUCUUUUGGUUGAAGAUCAUUCUUAAGGUAUUAUGUUACAUUCAAUUACCUAUUUCUUGUAAUAUUAUCAGUCGUAUAUGUUGUAUUUGUCCUUUAUGAUAGAGAUUUCUUUAUCAUUUCAUUAUUUUUUAUGUGGUGUAGCUUGGUGGCUUGAAUUCAACACUACAAGGUAAAUGUCGACUUUCUGUACUUGUUUCCUGUGUUUCCACCAUCAUUAUUGCCAUGUUUGUAUUGCUUUUGUUAUUGCAGGCAUUGAGUCGAAGCAGUUAUGGUUCUCAACCUUUACUUAGUAAUUAUUCUAUUUCUAUCCAUUUCUCACCCUUGAAUGUUAAUAAUCAAUAUUUUACUAAUCUUUUGGUUGAAGAUCAUUCUUAAGGUAUUAUGUUACAUUCAAUUACCUAUUUCUUGUAAUAUUAUCAGUCGUAUAUGUUUUAUUUGUCCUUUAUGAUAGAGAUUUUUUUAUCAAUCAAUUAUUUUUUAUGUGGUGUAGCUUGGUGGCUUGAAUUCAACACUACAAGGCAAACGUCGACUUUUUGUACUUUUUUCCUGUGUUUCCACAGUCAUUAUUGUCAUAUUUGUAUUGUUUUUGUUAUUACAGGCAUUGAGUCGAAGCAGUUAUGGUUCUCAACCUCUACUUAUUGGAGAUAUGAGAGGGAGAAGGCUUCAAUCCAAGAAAUGAGUGAUGAAACUUCAAUAAUAAGUGGUUGAAUUUUUGUUCGUAUGUGAUGUUUGAGGAUUUGUGAGAUAUCUUUUGAACUGUGGUCAAAGGAAAGCAAUUGUAAGUUUCCUUUAAAUAUAAUUAGUUGUAUAUGUUAUUUAUGAUGUAACUUUCUUUCUCGUAUCGUUGUUUUUUUAUUUAAGGUGUAGAUUGGUGGCCUUAAUGCAUAUUAUACGUUGAACGGGGUAUUUCCAACGUUAUUUUUUCAUGUGCACCCACCCUUAUUGGCAUUGAUGUCUCAUGGCUCCCCAGGGCAAACAAUUUCUUCAAUUGCAGCAAUGAAUGAUUAGUCAUCUAAUGUUAUUUUCAUGUCAAUUUGUUUCAAGUUAAUAAUUGUCUGACCUUAUACGAGUAAUGUUAUGCUUAGGUGGUUGGAUUACGAUAAAGAAGCCUAAUAUAAAAGUAUUGGGCAUCUGUCCAUGCUCAGUCUUUAUACGUUGAGAUAACUGACAAUUUGCUUAGGGUUCAUGGGGUGUGUGCUUGGGGUGUUAUGGUGUGUGAUUUUGUGUUUUGAGU